rnacentral:misc_RNA from 1 species
GUCCACAUGGAUGAUUCCUAUAUCGAGGAACUGAUUGUACUUGGAAGAAAAAAUUACUGACAGCGGCAAAUGCGCCUGCUAAAGUUUAAACAAGCUGGUCCGCCAAUUGUAAAAGGACUUGUUACCUCUUUGAUCUCACAGGGCCACAACCUGAGCACGAUUUUGCUGUCAUCACUCUAACCUAGUCACGUCGACUAUCAAACAGAGCCUAGACUAUUGAUAUUACAAUCUUGAAGCUCUGAU